rnacentral:rRNA from 1 species
CCUACGGGGGGCAGCAGUGAGGAAUAUUGGUCAAUGGACGAGAGUCUGAACCAGCCAAGUAGCGUGAAGGAUGACUGCCCUAUGGGUUGUAAACUUCUUUUAUAAAGGAAUAAAACGAGGCACGUGUGCCUUUUUGCAUGUACUUUAUGAAUAAGGAUCGGCUAACUCCGUGCCAGCAGCCGCGGUAAUACGGAGGAUCCGAGCGUUAUCCGGAUUUGUUGGGUUUAAAGGGAGCGUAGAUGGGUUGUUAAGUCAGUUGUGAAAGUUUGCGACUCAACCGUAAAAUUGCAAUUGAUACUGGCAGUCUUGAGUACAGUUGAGGUAGGCGGAAUUCGUGGUGUAGCGGUGAAAUGCUUAGAUAUCACGAAGAACCCCGAUUGCGAAGGCAGCUUACUAAACUGUGACUGACAUUGAUGCUCGAAAGUGUGGGUAUCAAACAGGAUUAGAUACCCCUGUAGUC